CGAACGCGAAAGGGGCUUCGGCCCUGAGUAGAGUGGCGAACGGGUGAGUAACACGUGGGUGAUCUACCUCUGAGUGGGGGAUAACGUUCCGAAAGGAGCGCUAAUACCGCAUGACGUUCCGGGUUUGAAGACCUGGAAACCAAAGCCGGGGACCGCAAGGCCUGGCGCUUGGAGAGGAGCCCGCGCCUGAUUAGCUGGUUGGUGGGGUAGCGGCCCACCAAGGCGACGAUCACCAUCCGGCCUGAGAGGGCGGACGGUCACUCUGGGACUGACACACGGCCCAGACUCUUACGGUAGGCAUCACUGGGUAAUUGUUCCCAAUGGGCGAAAGCCUUACCACGCUACGCCUGGUGAAUGAUGAUCGGAUUUAGAUUGCCACCUCCUGUUCCUUUACACCAAUGGAUUCCGGACACGCUUGGGGCUCUGUACUUACCGCGGCUGCUGGCCAGAGUUAACGUGGCUUCCUCACUCCGUACCGUCACUGCUGCAACGUGUUGGGUUGGAUUCCAGUCCUCCCGAUAACAGGAGUUUACUAUCCGAAGACAUUCUCCUCCACGCGGCGUUGCGUCGACAGGCUUGCGACCAUUGCGAACAUUCCCCACUGCUGCCUCCCGUAGAUCUGGGCCGUGUCUCAAUCCCAGUGUGGCCGUCCGCCCUCUCAGGCCGGCUACUGAUCGUCGCCUUGGUGGGGGUUACCCCACCAACCAGCUAAUCAAGCGCGGGCUCCUCUCCAAGCGCCAGGUCUUGCGGUCCCCGGCUUUGGUUUCCAGGUCUUCAACCCGGACGUCAUGCGGUAUUAGCGCUCCUUUCGGAACGUUAUCCCCACUCAGAGGUAGAUCACCC
rnacentral:rRNA from 1 species